UUUUCUUUUUCUCCUUUCCUGUCUUCCUUCCCUCCUUCCUUCCUUUCUCCUUUUUAAAAAUUUUCUUUCUUCCCUUUUCCCUCCCUCCCUGCCUCCUCUCCCUUCCUUCUUUCUUUCCUUCCUUCCUUCCUCCCUCUCUUCCUUUCUCUCUUUCCAGUUCCCAGAGGCUUCACAAUGCCCCUUGAUUGCUUAUGUCCACACAGGCUGUGCAGGCCGAGCUGGCAUCUUCAGGCAUUCAGCAAAGCAGAAAGCUUUGGGGAGCAAGCUCGAGAUGGAAAGGGGGCCCCUUCACUCAACCACUCAGUGUCUGGCCCCGCGGGCUCUGGGGUGUGUGCCCAGAUCUACUCUUUGCAGCGCCCAUGUGAGCUGCUUUAUGGGACCCAGCCAUUUGCAGAAUGACCCAGUCCUUCUCCUGCCCUCACGGAGCUCAUGGGAAGAACUUUAGCUUCUCAGUAGAUCCAGAACUGCAUUUUGUGUUGUCCGUGGACUGGGCUGAUUUGCUGGUUGGUACCUGCUUGUGAGGAGAUAAGGAGAGAAAUUCGAUCAGCUCUGUGACAACUUUUAUAGGAAUUUCAUUGAGUGACUUUAGGUCUAUUGAAUCUAAUAAAAAAAUGGGUUUGUA